UACGUAUGUCCCAAGCGUUACCCGGAAUCACUGGGUGUAAAGGGUUCGUAGGUGGUUUGAAAAGUUGGAUAUGAAAGACCGGAGCUCAACUCCGAGUUUGUCUUCAAAACUCUCAGACUAGAAUUAGGGAGAGGUAAGCGGAAUUCUAAGUGUAGGGGUGCAAUCCGUAGAUACUUAGAGGAACACCAAAAGCGAAGGCAGCUUACUGGAACUAUAUUGACGCUAAAGAACGAAAGCGUGGGUAGCGAAAAGG
rnacentral:rRNA from 1 species